GUAAUAACUCGAAUUCUAUCUUUCUAGUUUGUUACAUAAUCAGACGCUGUCAUUUGGAUUUAAAGGUGAUUUACCGGGAAUAAUUUUAACAUACAAAUUUCUUAAAAGUUCCACCAGCUAGAAUGUGACACUCGAAAGUCGGGUUUGAAUGACUGAUACCCUACAGUUUGUACCUGAAACGACAAGAAACAGAAAUCUACAUCAAAGGAUCUUUAUUGUGGUAUUUAUUGAUAACUAAGAUUUAUGCCAGGACAGUUUUAACGAAGGGAGAAGAUACAAAGAGGACAAUACAAAAACAUAACCAGAAGAAAAAACAGAGGUAGUAGUAGAUGAAACAACAGUGACAGAAGAAUGAAUGGCAACAUAUUAAUUAACAUUAACUUAAAAUUAAAAUAAAGCAAAUUUUAUUUAUGAUGCAUUUUAAAUAUGAACAUUGGGAGAUGUUGGAUAAACUUUAAUGAGACAGCAAGCCAGCAGCACAAUCACAAUAGAUAUU